GCGGGAGUGCCGGAGCGGUCAAACGGGCUAGACUCAAGAUCUAGUGGCUUAGUGCCUACGAAGGUUCGAUCCCUUCCCCCCGCA
rnacentral:tRNA from 3 species